CCUUUCUUCAAACUCAAGGUCGCUUUACAGGAUGAGAGUAAACACAAAGUAUCACAAAAAAUAAAUAAAUAAAUAAAUAUAUUUAAACCAAUUUAAUUGAGAAGCAUAGGUCAAAGAGAUAUGUUUUGAAAUCAUGUUUGGAGGUGAGAUCAUGGAGGGACUGAGGAAUAGAGUUCCAAAGCGAAGGGGCAAGUGUGCAAAAAGCCCUGCCACCUAGUGAGGUCAGCUUGCAACGUGGCAUGAAUAGUAGGCCCAAAUCACAUGACCGGAGUGAGCGGGAUGGGGUGUAGCAGCGGACGAGAUCAGUGAUGGGGCAAGACCUUUUAAAGCUUUGAUCAUUUUACCCUCUUUAACUUCUUCCACCAACAACAGGUGUGAAAAUGAUCCAUGACCUGAAGAAUAAUAAUGCAGGGACUUCAUUUGAUCUCCAAACUGUAGAUGCAGGAACUGAAUUUAGACUUUAUUCUGAAAACAGAACUGCUUUUGAAACAUCUUCGUGCAACAACCUAUUUCUCAGGAAAUUAGCAAAUUACACUUUGUGCCACUACAUUAACAGACAAUACACACACAGAUAGCACAAACACUGCCACUCAUGCCAUUCGCUUGUUGCACUGGCACGAAUAUUUCGCUUUGAAUUAGCACACGGUCGUUGCGUGUAGCACUGCGCAUUGCACACUCUGAAAAUAAAGCCCUGGAUAGUGUCAAUUUAACAUCUUUAUAAAACCAAAGAGUCAUAAUCAUGUAUCGCUCUUUUAGAGUCAUGUUACAUUUUAUUUGGUCUUUGCUCUUUCAUUUUCUUAUAGUUCCACAGGUUAAAACCCUUUACAAUUAGCACAAUAAACACAUUCGGUAACACUUUCUAUGAAGCCCAUAUUUAUAAUGCAUUGUAAAGGCAUUAUCCUGUAUUCAUAAUGUCUCAAUGCAUCUUAUAAUAAGUUAGAACUUCUCAUAAAUGAUAACUACAGUUAUAAUACAUUAUAAGACUUCCCUUAUUCAUAGUUAUACUUUAGAGUAUAAUGCAUUAUAACACAAGUAACAUCCAGUUUUAACGCAGCAGAAGUUCAUAAAGUUAAUGGCAUAAGUGCUGUAUAAUGUAAACAGUUAAAAGGUUUUAUGAUGUGAUCAUAUUAUAAGUGUUCUUUACCUGCUUUAAGUUACAAAAGUAAUAUCUUCUUAUAAACAGACAUAAAAUUGUAACAUGUAUUACAAACUUUUUAACAAUGUAUUACAAGUCAAACUUACUCAGUUCAGUAUAGAAUCAGUUUGAUGUUUUUUGAUUUUUAUUGGGUUUGUUUACACCCAAGAAGAUCGGCUACAUGUGUGAUCUGAUAUAUUUUAACCUUGUUUUUUCGUAAAUACCUCAAUUUACACUGAAUAUCUAUAUAACUUCCAGCAUGACUUGUAAUGUAUUAUAACCACAUAAAAAUAUCUUAUAGAUGUUUAUAAGACGACAUUGCUUUAAUCACUUAAAGCAUAUCUAUUAUACACAUUACAAUUAUAUAUAAUGCAUUAUAACUUCUGCAGAUUAAAUUGAUGUUGUUGGUGUUAUAAUGCAUUAUAGUCUAAGGUAUAACUAUAAAUAGGUAAGCAUUAUAAUGCAUUAUAACUUGCAGAUUAAAUUGAUGUUGUUGGUGUUAUAAUGCAUUAUAGUCUAAGGUAUAACUAUAAAUAGGUAAGCAUUAUAAUGCAUUAUAACUUCUGCAGAUUAAAUUGAUGUUGUUGGUGUUAUAAUGCAUUAUAGUCUAAGGUAUAACUAUAAAUAGGUAAGCAUUAUAAUGCAUUAUAACUUGCAGAUUAAAUUGAUGUUGUUGGUGUUAUAAUGCAUUAUAGUCUAAGGUAUAACUAUAAAUAGGUAAGCAUUAUAAUGCAUUAUAACUUCUGCAGAUUAAAUUGAUGUUGCUGGUAUUAUAAUGCAUUAUAGUCUAAGGUAUAACUAUAAAUAGGUAAGCAUUAUAAUGCAUUAUAACUUCUGCAGAUUAAAUUGAUGUUGCUGGUAUUAUAAUGCAUUAUAGUCUAAGGUAUAACUAUAAAUAGGUAAGCAUUAUAAUGCAUUAUAACUUCUGCAGAUUAAAUUGAUGUUGCUGGUGUUAUAAUGCAUUAUAGUCUAAGGUAUAACUAUAAAUAGGUAAGCAUUAUAAUGUAUUAUAAUUGUGGUUACAAUUAUUUAUGAGAAGUUAUAACAUAUUAUAAGGUGUAAUAUGAGACAUUACUAAUGCAUUAUAAAUAUGGGCUUCAUAGAAAGUGUUACCACAGAUUUACACAUUCUUUAACAGAAAGACGUGCACGAUUUCAAACACACACACACAAACACACACACACUUUAAAACGCAAAGUAAUUGAGUGAUUAGGCCCAGCCCACUGAUAAAACAAACACAAACAAAAACAACAUAACAAUGACAGAAAACAAUGUGACAGUUGUUAUAAGGGCUUCACAAAAUAUAGAUAUAUCGUUACACAGUGUCAUAAACAGGCGCGACACAACAGGUUUCCAUGAAAGUUAAUAGUCUGUUCACACUGGAAGCGACACUGUUGCACAACAGUUACAGACAGUCGAAACAUGGUUUUGUACGUUGGACCAAUGAGAUUUAUAAGUGUGGGCGGGGCUACCCAGCGCAACACCGCAGAAACCAAACCGAAAAAACAAAAGUCUUUGACUUGUCUCAUUAGGGCAAAAACAGAUUCAAAUGGAAGACAUACAGUAUGUUUACUUUCGUCUUUCUAUCGUGCCUGGUUAGGACACCAUGUAACAAGCCUAAAAUAUAUAGUAUUGUAAAAAAGUCAAGCAAGUUGUCCUCAAAACUCAAAGUGUAGCAGGUAAGAGGGACUGUCAAAUCGUUCGGAGAAAACAGUGUGAAAUAUGAAAGUCCAUCUGUGCGCCUGAGAGAGAUUUCCGGAGUGUUGUGGUCGAGUUUCUUUAAGGACAUCUCAAAAGAUAAAGAUAUGAACACAAAGGAGACAGUAAAAGCAAGUAUUUCUAUUCAAUCAAGGCACAUGGUCCAUUUAAAUUUAUUAUGUUACAACAAUUUUUUUUUUUUUUUUUUUUUUUUAUAUUGUAAAGACACAGAUUUGUCCCUUUGCAGCACCCAUAAUUCCUUACAACAAACUCCAGUGAAGUACAAAACAUAAAGAAUCUUUCUUAUAAUAAUAAUAAUAAAGCAUCCGAAUGUGGAGUGUGUCUGUGACCUUUUUUCAGAUGUCUUGAAUCCAGUGUGUAAAAGGUGUCAAUAAAUAUCGAUAGCUUUAAAAAAAUGUCAAAGACCCUUUAAACGGUCACAGGAAGAUAAAUACGUACAGUACGAUGGUGCGGAGAGCAACAAGACUGUUUUGCAUUUAUGACAACCCUGCUGGAAACCCCCCCCCCCCCAGCCGAACGAGAGUUGAAUGCGUACAGCCAGAUUUUUCUAGCAUGCACCUGGUAUUAUCUGCACUAUUUAGUGAGUCCACAAGGUGGCAACACUCACAAUAGAGCCAUUGCUGUCACAAAGAAGCGCUUUAAGAUGAUGCAAUGGCUGAUAACAGUAGAUAUGCACGUCAAGAGCACAUGUGUGAGGAGGUCAGGAGAUAACUGCAUUUGUAUAACUCGAAUCUUAAGGAAUAAAAAUACAUCUUUAAGGGUCUAAACUCCUGAAGAGAAAUAGUAUCUCAUAGCAGUCACAGCGCGUAUGCACCAACCGCCCGUGAAUGCGCGCACUGUCAAAUGAAGUAUAAUUUGAAAAGCUAGCGCUCAACUAAACGCUGACGCUAAGCGCUUGUGUAAAAAACGAAGACUGCUUUGGGCUUUAGCUGGUAGAUUUCAAGUAAAAAUGUGGAAAAUUUCAUUUCAAUUUAAUCGCGUCUUCACCACGCUCUCUAGAUAUCGGGAUCGGCCAUUAAAAACACGCAUUGGUUGACCACUAGUCAACUCAAGUGGCCUGACCCGUGAAUCAUCCACCAAUCAGCGAUUCUGUUUGUUCUUUAGGCCGAACCAACUUUUUGCAAGUACAUGAAUGCAUCUUGUGUUCGAAGUACGCGUUGCAUUCUCAACAUUGCCACAAGGGGCACUAUAGUGAGCGUAGUGUGAACUGUCCACCUCUUUGGUGAGUUUUCUCAACUACUGUCAAGGUGGAGCAACAGUUUUGAAUGAUGCUGAGCAAGUUAAAGUUCACAAAGUUCAAAAGCACAUCCAGUUUAAAUCUGAAGUAUGUAACUUGUUCUGCGUUUAAGUACUUUCUCCACAAGUAAGCUAUUAAUAGGUACAUUUUCUCGAAAACUGUAAGCACUGGCUCUGUUUGUUUUGAGCGACCCACUUAGACCCGCCCCAACAACGAUACUCAACCAAUGACGCGAGCUGGCGGCGGGACUCUCUCACUGUUUCCCCCCACAGUAACACAAGAACGCACGUUUAGUAUGUUUAACCGGACUGCGCCUCAGAUAGCACACGUAUGUCUCAGAGAUGUCUGUUUUAGAUCUUUUCAUCUGGAAAGCAUUCUUAUUAACAUCUGCUAAACAUCUUAAAAUGAUCCGGUUUCCAAACAUUCUACAUCAUAAACGUCUCAAAGACAUCUGCUGAAUGUCUUAUUGACAUACAGCAAACAACCUAAAACAUAUGUCUUCCAGAUGUAAACACACACAUCAAAUAGACGUCUGGGUGAUGAAUGUGUGCCAACAGGAACAUUGGCAAUGCGGUGGCCACGCGAUUGCAUCUGCGUUUGUGUACUUGGGUAGAGUGUAGCCUUAAACAUUGUCAUGUCAAGUGUUCCCAAGCAGAUGGUGAUCUUACACACCAUGCUGACAUGAACACACGCUGUUUACACUUCAGAAAUGGUGGCAAAACACGCAAGCUAAAGUCGGUUCUGUGUGCUAUUUCUAGAUAUUUUCAGAUUGUCAAGUCGUUUUAAAGCCAGUUAUCUCUCCUUGUGAGCGGAUUAUGAUGAAUGUCCAGUGAUAAAUAUCUGAUGAGCUUUAGCCGCAAAACAUGCCAAUAAGAGACGUGCACUGACUAAGCAGUGUUUGUUGAGUCAAGCAUCACUAACUAUCUGAACAAAACUUUUGUGUUUAUUUAGCUUCGGAAAAUAUGGAAUCAGGUUUAAAUUCAUUCUUGAGAGUCACACAAAAAGUACUGUUAAAUGACGCAGUAGCAUGAACAAUAAUAUUCAAAGGAAAAUCUUGGCUUUCUUGUCAUAGAUCAAGUCUGUGCUCGACAUACUUUCACAGGAGUUGGCACAGCAGAAAUCUCAGGGUAUGUUGACGGAGCGAAAUGCCAAAGAAGGCCAUUGUUAUGUGAAAAUGUCUCCCAACCCGGCUCCCCCCCACCCCAAAGGAAUUUCAUUGUUGGGAAUAAAAUGUGAGAGAUGAGAAUCUGCAUGCAGCACACACAGUCCACCAGGGGGAAGUCAGUACUUCCUCUCUACAGGACGUCUUCAUGGGGGAACUUGAGAGCUCUCUUAGAUCAGAAAUAAUCAUGCCUUCAGGCUGAUCUUGGAUUCUCUAAGAUAUUUUUGUACAUACAUAAUAACAUUCCUAAAGCGCUGGAAGCUUCAGGAACUAAACACAAACACCCACUAUCACCAUCACAAGCCAUUUCGACAUUUAAUAAAGUGCAUGAGGUGAAUUAAAGAUAUCUACAAUUAGGGGGUCUGGGUAGCUCAGCGAGUAUUGACGCUGACUAUCACCCCUGGAGUCGCGAGUUCGAAUCCAGGGCAUACUGAGUGACUCCAGUCAGGUCUCCUAAGCAACCAAAAUUGGCCCGGUUGCUAGGGAGGGUAGAGUCACAUGGGGUAACCUCCUCGUGGUCGCUAUAAUGUGGUUCUCGCUCUCGGUGGGGUGUGUGGUGAGUUGUGCGUGGAUGCCGUGGAGAAUAGCGUGAAGCCUCCACAGACACUACGUCUCCGUGGUAACGCGCUCAACAAGUCACGUGAUAAGAUGUGCGGAUUGGCGGUCUCAGACGAAGAGGCAACUGAGAUUCGUCCUCCGCCACCCGGAUUGAGGCGAGUCACUACGCCACCACGAGGACUUAGAGCGCAUUGGGAAUUGGGCAUUCCAAAUUGGGGAGGAAAGGGGAGAAAAUCUAAUUAAAAUGCUAAUUCUUGAUGUCAGUAAUGGAAUUACUACUAGCGAAAUAAUUAGAUUUGCUCUAUAUCUAUAGCAUAUUGAAAAUUCUAAUAUUUAAUAUCUGCAAUGUAUUUCAACAUUUUUAUGAUUCGGUAUUGGAGAUAUCUAGAAAUGGAGUUCCUAUAUCAAUAAAUUGAAGAGUGAUUAAAGAUCUCUUAAAAGGCUUUGUUACUAGUUAAACACAUGAAACAUAUCUGAAAUGAACAUUGCCACUAAUGAAAACCAAAUGGGCAUUUUUACUAGUUGCAAUUCCAUUUUUGAUAAAGAAUUAUAAUUUUUUCUUAGUGCAAACCUCAUUACUGAUUUUCACCAGUGAAAAUUGUAUAGAAUUAUACCUAUAUAUCCUGCACGAUUAUAUGUUGAAACGUCUUGAGAUACAAGUGCAUUCAACUCGAAGGUUGUUCAAAAGAGGCUUGACAUGAACUUCUACAUCAGGAUAUUUUGUCAGACUCAGGAAACCUCAUGAUUUUGAAAAUUAUUGUGGCUCAUUGGAUGAAAUCUCCUGGCUAGAACGAUUGCAUUGUUUGGCACGUGUGUGGAUUGUGUGCUGAAUUCUCCCAGGUGCACAAAAACGCAAUAAAUUCCCUUCAGGUUGCUGUUGCUAAAGACCCUCCCAAAGAAACUGUUAAAAACAAAUCUCAAAGCUAGCCAAAUCUGAAUUGAAACAAGGUAAAAUGACUUUGUCAUAAUCUGAAAAAACUGCAGCGUCUUAAAUUAAAAGUGAAAUGUGCGAUUUCUGCUUCAAGCGGAUUUACAAAAAUAAUGAUUGUUUUCAAGCAGGUUUCCCAAACACUCUCCCCAUUUCCCAUUGGUUGAAAAAGCAGAUAGUCCCGCCCCUAACUCAUGCCAUUGGUUGAGUCAGAAGUUGACAUGUCAUGUUGCUCAAACAAACAGAGGAAUGUUUUGAAAGCGCCACAGAUUUUCAGGGGAAUCAACCAAUAAACGAAUACGUGGAAAAAUCAUUUUAACAUCCGAAUCUCACACAACACUUUUAAGAACAAUACAUCUGAAACUGAUAAUGAACAGACACUGAUUGAAGCGCACAAAGAGGGCAUUAGACCCUGAGUAAGUGAUGUCAGAGAAUCCAAAGAAUCCAAAGAAUGGGUUCUUUGAUGUUCAAAGAAUCCAAAAGAAAACAUUGAUUUCACAUCUUGUGAUGUUUAAAACCGUAAUUAGUUCAUCAGGAAUGACGAGAUGGACAAAUUUGUGGAAAAAUCACAUGUUUGGAAGGCCAAAACCUAUCAGCUAUUGUCUAGAAGCUCCAUCGAAAGAAAUCUCAAUGAUAUAACAUUCUUCCAGAAUAAAAUGUAAAUCUUCUGAUAUUACAUUUCCUCGAAUCCAUUGAGGAAAUCCAAUGAUCCCAAACACUUGCUAGGGCCCGUUUAUGGGAGCUAAAAUUUGACAGGUGUCCCACGGCUCUGGUUUAGCCCCAAAACAUAGUCAAUGCAAGAAUGUGAACACAGGUGUAGUCUUAGUUUCUGAAGUAUUUUCCCAGAAAUUGCAUUAUUAAACUACUUUUUCUUUAUAUGCAGUUAAAAUCACGUGAACUGAUGGCUUUAACAGAAGCAUAUACCAUCGAUUAACAACUUCCGAUAUCUGUCAGAGGUCUGUCUUUAAAGGUUUACAAGUUUAUAAAGGUUUAUAAGUUACCAUUAAUAAUUACUUCCACCAACGGGAAAUGGAUUUUUACUUCCAGAACCAGACUGUUGCGCUCUAUUUAUAAUGCAACGCAAACACUGCAUUCUCAGUCUUGCCACAGGGGGCACUAUAGCGGAAAUUAGCUUUGUCUUCUAUGGACAGUUUUCUCUUUCAGGUCAACAACUGUCAUGGCGGUGCAACAGUUUGAAGAUAAUCUAGCUGAACAAGUUUUUAUGUUUUAAGCAGAUACCUGAAUAGCAACACAUCUGUUUUAAUGGCGCACACACAUUUGAAGGAAACUCUGUCGCCAACUUGAGUACUGAGGUGUGUUACUGCUACAGUAACGCAAAAGCACAUGUCAAGUUUGUACGACGAGAUCAAUGCGUUGGCCAAGUGUUUGCAUU